rnacentral:lncRNA from 1 species
GCUUCCCAGAACCACACGACGCAGCCGUGAGGAUGGGGCCCCGGGGCCCCGGGGCCCCGCCUGUCGUUGCGUCUCUCUGCCGUUUCCUUAUGACGUAAAGGGCCCUCCUGAUGUAGUCCUAGCAGCUGACACUGACACGGGGCUUUUACACACGAUGACACCUAACUAUCGGGACAGGCUUGUGAGACACUGUCGCUGCCACCAUAGAGAAGGGGACACUGAGGGCUGGCGAGGCCGCGUGGCCGUGCUAGAAGGGGAAGCUGAGGCCUGGCGAGGCCGCGUGGCCGUUACAGAAGGGGACACUGAGGAUUGGGAAGGCCAAGAGGUCGUUAAAGAUGGGCAAACUGAGGCUUGGCGAGGUCACGUGGCCAUUAUAGAUGGGGAAACCGAGACUUGGCGAGGUCAAGUGAUCGUCACCAAAGUGGAAACUGACGAUUGGGAAGGUCAAGAGGAAACUGAGGAUUGUCAAGUGAUCGUCACCGAAGAGGAAACUGACGAUUGGGAAGGUCAAGUGAUCGUCACCGAAGAGGAAACUGAGGAUUGUCAAGUGAUCGUCACCAAAGAGGAAACUGAGGAUUGGGAAGGUCACGUGGCCGUUACAGGGGGGGAAACUGAGGCUUGGGAAGGUCACGUGGCCGUUACAGAAGGGGAAACUGAGGCGUGGAGCGGUCAAGUGGCUGUUACAGAAGGGGAAACUGAGGCUUGGCAAGGUCAAGUGGCCGUUACAGAAGGGGAAACUGAGGCUUGGGAAGGUCAAGUGGCCGUUACAGAAGGGGAAACUGAGGCUUGGCGAGGUCACGUGGCCGUUACAGAAGGGGAAACUGAGGCGUGGAGUGGUCAAGUAGCCGUUACAGAAGGGGAAACUGAGGCUUGGCAAGGUCACGUGGCCGUUACAGAAGGGGAAACUGAGGCGUGGAGCCGUCAAGUGGCCGUUACAGAAGGGGAAACUGAGGCGUGGAGCGGUCAAGUAGCCGUUACAGAAGGGGAAACUGAGGCUUGGCGAGGUCACGUAGCCACUUCAGAAGCAGAAACAGAGGCUUGGCAAGGUCACGUGUCCAUCACAGAAGGGGAAACUGAGGCUUGGCGAGGUAAAGUACCUACUUCAGAAGCAGAAACAAAGGCUUGGCGAGGUAAAGUAGCCACUUCAGAAGCAGAAACAGAGGCUUGGCAAGGUCACGUGUCUGUUAUAGAAGGGGAAACAGGCUUGUCGAGGUCAAGUAGCCAUUACAGAAGGGGAAACUGAGGCUGGAUAAGAUUGAAAUUCAUCUAAUUUAAGUGUCUGAGGUAGGAUUGGGUCCAGAACUUCCUGAUUAAGUCAUGAUGCCUCUUCAGAAAAGAAAGCGCACCCUGAUGUAGGCUCUCUGGGUACCCAGUGCCCCUCAUGGCAGAAGCGUCAUCAGCUAGAGCAGAGGGGCCUCUCUGCCACCUCCACCCAGAUGCUUGGGAGAAAGGGGCUCUUAGUCUUAGGACUGACAGAGUCACUGCUGACUGGCCUGUGAGGAACUACGGGUGGUCUGAGCUCAGCAGAUCCAGUGGCCUCCAUGGGCAUCACCAAGUUAUGAUGUGGCAACAAAGAGCUGGACAGCAAGCCCAACAAAAAAGGGCCCUUUCCCAACCCCUGAGCCUCCAUGGGUCAGUCCCGGCUCCAGGAAGAGCGUCAGAAAUGCUCACUGGGCAUCUCGGAGAGCUGGAGAACCAGCUGAAUGAGGUGAGAUGAAGAAAAAGAGAGAGGAGAGGGAAUUAAUAACCUAUUCAGAACAUGGCACACUAAACGAUAUCAAACAAAGUAUGGUAGCCAUCCUGGUCUUUGUUCUAAGGACCAACAUUUGCUGGGAUGGGAGGGGGAGGAGGAGAAAAGGACAAGGAAAUAAAUAUUUCCUAAGUGCCUACUAUGUGC